rnacentral:lncRNA from 1 species
UUUGACAUUCUGUGUGACAUUCUUUUUGACUAAUAGACAUUUAUUUUGGCUCAUUGGUCUCUUUGGUCUCUUUGGUCUCUUUUGGCUAUAAACAGAUGACAGAUGAUGUUGAAAAGGAUGUAUAUUGGAGAUAAUUUGUUUAGUAUAUGUGAUGUUGAAGGUGAUGUCAGAUGGGGAGGUGUAUGUUACAGGUGUGUUGAAGGUGAUGUCUGUGUUGAGAAGAC